rnacentral:lncRNA from 1 species
UUAAGGUCCCGGUCUUCGCUGCUCGGUUGAGCUUCGUGCCCAUCAGCUUCCCCUCCGCUCAAUUCCUCGUCGGAUGAUACUGCACCUUCGUCUGGGCAGAACAGAGAAUCAUAGGCACAUCAUGAACAUCAAAUUAUUCCACUUGCUCAUAGUGAAUUAACAGUACAUGCACACCAGUAGUAAAAGCACAUCUAAAUCAUCACCAUACUAGUUAGUUACAAUGUAUCAGGACCCCGUUAAAAGAUUGACCCAAAUACAAAUGUCCCAUUACCCUAAUACUAAACUCCGAGCUAAUCCCCAGGUAACAUACGGGUGUUGAUCAAUAAUAUAAAAACCAGUCGAAACCUUCUCUUAACACUUCGAGUUAUUGGAAAACAACGGUUCAUGACAUAUAUGGUAUAAAAGCCUUUAAAAAUCUAUAGGUCUCCAUUUCGAAUUUUAGUAACUCCUAAUCCGUACACAUGACAUGUUCAAGGUUGUGCAAACAUCAAACCCUUUUAACAUCUUCCGUUAGAGGAGUCGGGUUGAUGAAUAAUAGAAAAACCGACCUAAACCUUCUCUAAACAGCUCGAGUUAUUAAGGGUGGGAACUAGGGUUAAACACAUGACCCAACUCUGUUGGGAGGGUGGUCCCCUCUCAUGAGAACUUCUUCAAAGAGCCAAAAGAAACGUACAGAUAGAAAUGAAAGGAGGGAGUAGUUGUGCAGUAUGGUGCACAACGCAUACAGAAACUACUAGUGAAUGGUUAUGUCGGUUGUCAGGGACUCAAC